CUUUUAUCUCAUCACUAUUACUGCUUGUGUUCUCUGGGUUGUCAUGAUAGAAUGAAAACACUAAUUGUUGAUCAGUCUCACUGAUAACUACACAUAUCUUUUGGCUUGUUUGUAUCCUAAAAGCUUGAAGAUGUAGAUGAAAGACUUACUGCUUGGCUUGUCACAGAUGACAGAGCUGUUUUCCUACAAGGGUACACAGGACCGGAAAAAUAAUUUCAUCUUCAUUUUUUUUCCCGUUCAUAUUUAUCUUCCUUUUAGAGAGUAUCACUUGGACAGUGAUUUUUUGGUAAGGCUAAAAAAAAAUGAUACUAUCAAUAUCAGUAUAUUGGAAAAUUCUCUUCUUCCUAUAUCUUUCCUUUCCUUCUAUGAACAUUAUCCACAUAAACUUAUUCCACAAAGGAAAGAGUUAAGACAGCAGUUUUAAUUUGUUGUAAGACAUUUGUGGAAGAAGAGAGGGAAGACAGAGAGGAAAGAAGAAGAAAAGAAGGGAAAGUAGUCAAUAUUUACUGUUAAAUAAAGUGCACUAAACAUUUGUAUUCUGGAGUGGGGUUCUUGGAAAGAAAGGAAUGCAGAAAAAGUGGUUUCUUUUUGCUCUGUUCAAAAAACUUGCAGGUAAAGGUGCAUAUUUUUUAAUAAUCAAGAAUUAAUAAGAGAAAAAAACCAGUCAUGUUGCCAAAAACAGUUAACCCAUCACAAAAUGUCUAUCUUGACUCCCUGAAUUUUCCUUCCUCUUCUCACUUCUGAUAUUACUUCUCCCAUGAUGGUGUCAAGGAAGGAGUUACUGGGUGGGUUUGCCCUGGAAUAAUCUUCAUCAGGACCCCUAUAAAUGUCACACCAACAGAGGAAUACAGUCUAAAGAAAACAAUGUGCUGCCUAUGCAACACAGCUUAAAAGACCUCAGGCCCAACCUCCAAUCAUUCUUUGGUCCCUUUGAGGUAGAAAUUCUGAAACUACUAGUGACAUUUCCAGUGCUCUGCAAUGACCAUGCUGAAUGUCUCUUAGUCAUCCUCAAACAGUAAUGUUUUUUUUUUUUUUUAUGCCUUUGUACUUGCUGUUUUCUUAAACUGGAAAGACUUCUUUCAUUUCAGAUUUUAUCUUUUCUAGGAAACUUUCUCACCUCCUGUUAUUAGGGUGAAUGCUCCCACUAUGUGCUAUCUUACAACCCUGUGCUUCCUGCUCUCAUAGCGUACUUCAUUUACUUAUUUGUUCAACACAAACUGUACAUAUAUACUGUGACAUAUAUUAGGGCUCCAAUAUGAGACUUUCAAAACAGACAUUAGAUGGAGAAUAACUAUUGGGAUUUUAAGAAACAAAUAAUUUAUAUGCUAUCUAACACUUUAAUGUGAAAAAUUAUUGCAAAUUAUUUUAUCAAAUUAAAAUACCAUUUUUACCCAAACAUAUCAGAGCCAAUAAAGCUUUGGUCAAUCCAAUUUAUGACUCUAUAUGCAAAGAAUACAGGGCACAUCCAGUUAUACAAUAAAGUGAUGUUAAUUAUUUUUAUUAAUGCUUGGAAUUCCACAUUAAUUUCUGAAAAUUUGUCAAUAUAAUAUAUGAAAUGGUUACAAAAAUAAAAUACAUUUUCAUCUAACUAUUAGUCCAACAGAAUAUAUAUACAGAAUACAACAGCAUUCAUUCAUGACACAGCAUUUUGGUAAUCUAGAUUUAGGAAAAUAAAUCAUUAAGAUGAUAAAAAUUAUCUCUGAAACUGUUGAUUAAUAAAAUUCCAAGUAAUGAGAUGGACAUCAUUACCUAAGUAUAUGUAUGAAAACAUGAAUCGUGU
rnacentral:lncRNA from 1 species